rnacentral:tRNA from 2 species
GCUCAGAUAGCUCAGUAGGUAGAGCAGGGGACUGAAAAUCCCCGUGUCCCUGGUUCGAUUCCGGGUCUGAGCACCA